UACGUAGGGUGCGAGCGUUAAUCGGAAUUACUGGGCGUAAAGCGUGCGCAGGCGGUUCGUUGUGUCGGCGGGGAAAGCCCCGGGCUUAACCUGGGAAUGGCCGUUGAAACUGGCGAACUGGAGUGUGGCAGAGGGGGGUGGAAUUCCUGGUGUAGCGGUGAAAUGCGCAGAUAUCAGGAGGAACACCAAUGGCGAAGGCAGCACUCUGGGACGUGACUGACGCUGAGACGCGAAAGCGUGGGGAGCAAACAGG
rnacentral:rRNA from 1 species